GAUGAACGCUGGCGGCGUGCCUAAUACAUGCAAGUCGAGCGAAGCGGGGACGGGUGAGUAACACGUGGAUAACCUCCUAUAAGACUGGGAUAACUUAGGGACACCGGAGCCAAACAGGAUACUUUUAGAUGGAUCUGCGCUGCAUUAGCUAGUUGGUAAGGAAACGGCUUACCAAUGCAACGAUGCAUAGCCGACCUGAGAGGGGGAUCGGCCACACUGGAACGGAGACACGGUCCAGACUCCUACGGGAGGCAGCAGUGGGGAAUCUUCCGCAAUGGGCGAAAGCCUGACGGAGCAACGCCGCGUGAGUGAUGAAGGUCUUCGGAUCGUAAAACUCUGUUAUUAGGGAAGCGUUACCUAAUCAGAAAGCCACGGCUAACUACGUGCCAGCAGCCGCGUUAAAC
rnacentral:rRNA from 1 species